AUUGAACGCUGGCGGCAGGCCUAACACAUGCAAGUCGAACGGUAACACAGAGAGCUUGCUCUCGGGUGACGAGUGGCGGACGGGUGAGUAAUGUCUGGGAAACUGCCUGAUGGAGGGGGAUAACUACUGGAAACGGUAGCUAAUACCGCAUAACGUCGCAAGACCAAAGAGGGGGACCUUCGGGCCUCUUGCCAUCAGAUGUGCCCAGAUGGGAUUAGCUAGUAGGUGGGGUAACGGCUCACCUAGGCGACGAUCCCUAGCUGGUCUGAGAGGAUGACCAGCCACACUGGAACUGAGACACGGUCCAGGCUCCUACGGGAGGCAGCAGUGGGGAAUAUUGCACAAUGGGCGCAAGCCUGAUGCAGCCAUGCCGCGUGUAUGAAGAAGGCCUUCGGGUUGUAAAGUACUUUCAGCGGGGAGGAAGGGAGUAAAGUUAAUACCUUUGCUCAUUGACGUUACCCGCAGAAGAAGCACCGGCUAACUCCGUGCCAGCAGCCGCAGUAA
rnacentral:rRNA from 1 species